rnacentral:snRNA from 1 species
AAAAGUGUAUGCAUCAUGUUA